rnacentral:rRNA from 1 species
UUAUGUUUCAAGUUCCAUUUCUAUGUAACCUUCCAUAUGAACUGUGAAGUUAAAUGUACCUGAAAAAGAGCAGUACUAGGAUGGGUGACUUCCCAGGAAGUCCUUGUGCUGCAUCCA